GGAAAUGUGGCCUUGUUGUGCAGGGGCCUUUUGAGAAGGUGAAUCAGCGUGUGUUAGCUCAGGGCAGAGGGCCUGGCGGUGAGACGUGAGAACAGCCAAUGUCAUGGCGGUGGGGGAGUGGACGUGAGCCAUCUGGGGCCCAGCAAACAGCAUGUUGAAAAAAACGAGGAACUCAAAGGCAGAUGAGCCUACCACGCUGGGAACAGUUGGGAGUACAUUGCUCAAGCCCCGGCCAGUUUUAUGUCACUGCUGGUGUGAAGCAGUGAACAGUGACCCAGCAUGCAUCCAGGUGGCGGGACAGAGUCAGACUCUCCAGGGCAGAGAGACUCUAAAACUGACGGCCAGGUCUUGCUCAGACUA
rnacentral:lncRNA from 1 species